GUUAGGCGGGUUAGCUCGGCCGGAAUCACGGACGGGGGCCCCUUCUCGAAAGAGUGAGGGGGGACUAGCUGGGGCCAUGCGGCGGAUUCCGAUUCCGCCCUACGGCAGCAAAGUAGAUAACGUCAGCUAGUUCUCGGGGCCCUACCCGCCGGCCAAUGAGGGUGCCUCCGCCUGGCACUGUUGCCCAUUCUAACCCUUUGUGAACUACAACUCUGUUGCUUCGGGGGCGACCCCGCCGUUUCGGCGGUGGCGCUCCCGGUGGCCAAUCAUUAAACUCUGCAUCUCUUGCGUCGGAGUCUUAAAGAAAUUUAAACAAAACUUUCAACAACGGAUCUCUUGGUUCUGGCAUCGAUGAAGAACGCAGCGAAAUGCGAUAAGUAAUGUGAAUUGCAGAAUUCAGUGAAUCAUCGAAUCUUUGAACGCACAUUGCGCCCCGUGGUAUUCCGCGGGGCAUGCCUGUUCGAGCGUCAUUUCACCACUCAAGCCUCGCUUGGUAUUGGGCGUCGCGACUCCGGUCGCGCGCCUUAAAGUCUCCGGCUGAGCAGUCUGUCUCCGAGCGUUGUGAUACAUAUUCGCUAGGGAUGACAGGUCUGUCGCGGCCGUUAAAUCUUUAUUACAGGUUGACCUCGGAUCAGGUAGGGAUACCCGCUGAACUUAAGCAUAUCAAUAAGCGGAGGAA
rnacentral:sRNA from 1 species